rnacentral:rRNA from 1 species
GACGAACGCUGGCGGCGUGCUUAACACAUGCAAGUCGAACGGAAAGGCCCUGCUUUUGUGGGGUGCUCGAGUGGCGAACGGGUGAGUAACACGUGAGUAACCUGCCCUUGACUUUGGGAUAACUUCAGGAAACUGGGGCUAAUACCGGAUAGGAGCUCCUGCGGCAUGGUGGGGGUUGGAAAGUUUCGGCGGGUGGGGAUGGACUCGCGGCUUAUCAGCUUGUUGGUGGGGUAGUGGCUUACCAAGGCUUUGACGGGUAGCCGGCCUGAGAGGGUGACCGGCCACAUUGGGACUGAGCUACGGCCCAGACUCCUACGGGAGGCAGCAGUGGGGAAUAUUGCACAAUGGGCGGAAGCCUGAUGCAGCAACGCCGCGUGCGGGAUGACGGCCUUCGGGUUGUAAACCGCUUUCGCCUGUGACGAAGCGUGAGUGACGGUAAUGGGUAAAGAAGCACCAGCUAACUACGUG